GAUGAACGCUGGCGGCGUGCCUAAUACAUGCCAGUCGAGCGAACAGACGCUGAGCUUGCUUCUCUGAUGUUAGCGGCGGACGGGUGAGAAACACGUGGAUACCCUCCUUAUAAGACGGGGAAAACUUCGGGACACCGGCGCAAAUACCGGAUAAUAUUUUGAACCGCAGGGUUCAAUAGUGAAAUUCGGUCUUGCUGUCACUUAUAGAUGGUUCCGUGCUGCUUUAGCUGGUUGGUAAGGUAACAGCCUACCAAGGCUACGAUGCGUAGCCGACCUGAGAGGGUGAUCGGCCACAUUGGAACUUGGACACGGACCUGACGCCUACGGGAGGCAGCAGUAGGGAAUGUUCCGCAGUGGGCGAAAGCCUUACGGAGCAACGCCGCGUGAGUGAUGAAGGUCUUCGGAUCGUAAAACUCUGUUAUGAGGGAAGAACAGAUGUGUAAGUAACUGAGCACAGCUUGACGGUACCUAAUCAGAAAGCAACGGCUAACUACGUG
rnacentral:rRNA from 1 species